rnacentral:misc_RNA from 1 species
AAGUCGUAACAAGGUCUCCGUUGGUGAACCAGCGGAGGGAUCAUUAAAAGAAGCCGAAAGGCUACUUAAAACAAUUGCGAACCCGUCCAGGUUGCUUCGGCGGCGCGGAGCCCCCUCUACCAGGGGCGCCGUAGCUCUGCCCCCCGGGAUUCCGGGGACGCGGGGCGCCCGCCGGAGGUACGAAACUCUAUAUUGAAACCGAAUCUCUGAGAAACAAGCAAACAAGUUAAAACUUUCAACAACGGAUCUCUUGGUUCUG